GUAACUUGCACCAUUUGAUCACGCCUAUGUUUUGUGGUGAUAAUACUUUCAACUAUUCCUAAAAUAUUGCUUCAGUCUUAUCUGUUUGGGGUCAAUUGCUGAGGAUUUCAUACAAAUUGAUGAAGUUUGUGAAUCUAAAGUUCUACACAAAGGGAGACAUCAAUCCUACAAGCUAAUAUUGUUUUACAGGGUUUAGAAAACCAUUUAGCUGGGUUUCAAACCUCACGGUGUGAGCAGUGGGACUCUCAUCCGAUUAUAGCAUGUGCUUCAGUACCAUUUGUAGACUGACUCAUUCCUGUUGCCUUAAGUUGCCAUCAGCAAAAUGCCAGGGACUCUGUUUCUCACUCCUCAGUUCCUUGUUCUUGCCUGUCUUUCCAUGAGGGAAGAUUUUCUAGCAGCAGCUCAAGCUGUGCUUUUAAUGAAACACAUCUGCACACACUGUCCUGUUGUCCACAUUAAGCAGAGCUCCCUGAAUAACUCAUGAACAAAAGCAUCUAUGACUAACGGUUGCUCUGUGUCCUUCUAGCCUUUGAGGAGUCUCCAACUCACAAGGACAGAGGAGAUGGAGAGAGGCUGGUCGACGCGAGGGUGGUGCAGGUGGUCCCUCUGAGGUUUGACUCUACCCCCUGUGGGGACCCUAUACAGGACAUCUCUGACGAAGACACUGUAUAUGACAUCUGCGAUGAGGACGCCGUAGACAUCUGUAAUGAGGACACUGUGGACAUCUCUAAUGAGGCUGCUGUACCUGACAUCUUGAAUGACGCUGGAGACAUCUGUAAUGAGGCUGCUAUAAGUGACAUCGCGAGUGAGAAUGCUGAAGACAUCUGUAAGGAGGACACUGCAGAAAACAUCGCUAAUGAGGACAUUGUUUACAACAUAACUAAUGAGGACGCUGAACAACACACCUCUGAAAAAGAAGACGCUGCCAAGGUAAGACACUUUUCUUUGUCUUGAACAGAAAUGUUACUUUCCUGACUUCUUUCCAAUCAGAUAUAGACAUG
rnacentral:lncRNA from 10 species